AUACGGAGGGGGCUAGCGUUGUUCGGAAUUACUGGGCGUAAAGCGCGUGUAGGCGGUUCGGCAAGUCGGGUGUGAAAGCCCAGGGCUCAACCCGGGAACUGCGCUUAAUACUGGUGAACUUGAGUCCGGGAGAGGGUGGCGGAAUUCCCAGUGUAGAGGUGAAAUUCGUAGAUAUUGGGAAGAACACCAGUGGCGAAGGCGGCCACCUGGCCCGGUACUGACGCUGAGGUGCGAAAGCGUGGGGAGCAAACAGGAUUAGAAACCCCAGUAGUCC
rnacentral:rRNA from 1 species